CGGGGCGUAGCGCAGCUCGGGAGCGCACCUGCUUUGGGAGCAGGGGGUCGCUGGUUCAAAUCCAGUCGCCCCGACCA
rnacentral:tRNA from 2 species